CCCUCCUCCCAGGGGGAAGGAAAUGGCUGCAAUGGAGCUGGCUCAGGUCAUUGAUAAGAAUGUUAAAUAGCAGAAGGCCAAGAACCAAUCAUUGUGGGAAUCCCCUAGAAAGAAAUCUACUCAAGCAUGGUUCCCCAUUUACAAUAAUAGUUUGUAAUCUAUUUAAUGUAUGCCGUGUUUAUUUUGUAUCUUUGUAGGAACGUUACACUUCUUAAACACUAAGGGGGUAGGAAUGCCGCCCCCGGAUUUAGAGCGGCUGAAGUGGUUCCCACACCCCCACACUUCCGGUCAGGAGACACACUGAUUAAGUGCCGAUUAGGAGUGUAUCUCUGGAGUACGCAGUGCAUAAAGCACCAAUCAGGAGAGGGGGCGAGACGUUGGCUUGAGUUUGUACAUGCGUAUAAUAGAAUGAUUUAUGUAACCAACUAUAAUAAAUAGACGUGGACAGCCCAGUUGGGGCGGGUCCACGGGAACAGACUGACAGACUUGGCUUCAUUCAUUGCUACAUCUGGUGACCCCGACGUGAUUCCCCCUGCUCACCGUCUGGAAUAGCCUCCGAUGCAUCGACCCUCGCUGAAUAGCCCCGUUUCAAUUUUACAGCCACUGAAUGACAUUUAAGACGGAAACCCCGCUCCCAUGCCCAUCUGUCAAAUAUAGGCAGAGCCCAGACCCUAAUUGGUAUGGCCCCGUUCCAUUGAGAACCUGGGGACGGGGGCAUGCCGCUGUGCUUACUCCCACAGGUCCGUUGUGGGUCCCUGCCAAGAAUGUGCGACCGUGGCACAAUGACGUGGCAUCAAAGCCUCAAGAACCCGAUACCCAACUUUAAUCUGAAUCUAACCGAGACCUUUCCAGUGUGCCGAGCCACAAAGACGGCACCAAAGGUUACCUGGGGGCAGGUGAAACGACUGGCGCAGCAGGCUCAGCAAACGCUGGAGAAUAACAAGUCCAAGCCUACCCCCGAGAAUUUUACUGUUGCUAUCUUUGCUUGUUUGAUUGCUAAUUCUUUUACCAUAUUGUUGUGUUGUUUUUGUGUGUUACAGGCUAGGGCCGAACCCGAAUUGCAUAGCCGCAUGCGUUAUAAUAUAUGGGCUCGACUUGCGAUUCUUGCCAAUUAAUCCUCCUUUUGUUUACAGCAGGCCCCUGAGAUGCAUGGCCUGUUGGGCACCUGCCUGGUCCCAGUAUAUAAGGCACCAGGCGAUGCUGCACAUGCAACGGGGAUGUUUAAUUUUAUAAAUGCCACCGAGAUUUAAUAUUCUUUUAUGAGCCUAUGGGGCCAAGCCACUUAUGUGAAACCUGCAAGUGCCUUGUUUCUCUUUACCCCACGGGUAGCCAAUCACGCCAAUUUGACCUGUGCACGGAUGGUUAAUUGCACACAUCACAGGCCCCCAAAAGGAUGUUUGCGGGUGGGUACCCCAAAAUGGAAUUGUACGCGCUUUUAAAAUGUGUCCAGCAAUUACGGGCACAUCAUGUUACCAGAGGGUUGGUUUUUUACAUGUGGUCAGAGGACCUUUAAUUAUAUUCCGGCCAAUAUUUCAGAAGCUCAAUGUUGCCUAAGCAGACUCACAUUGAUACUCCCCACGAGGUCAAUGUUGACUGAUUCCCAAAUUAAUGAGACCCGCACCCGAUGCCGGCGAAGCUUAACCCCCAUGAGAUCAGGAUGUAAUGCCAAUGUCAGCCUUUUUAGUUGGGCUGAGUACAUCUUUUUGGCUGCCAUCCAUGGGAUGGGUUUGAAUUGUUUUGUAAUAUGCUUUGAUUGUUAUCGCCUGCUUGAUUGGUUUUUGUUGCUUAGCUCAGUGUAUUCCUAACAUAAUUGGGCUGUGUUUUACACCCUGUCGGCGCAAACCCCUGCCUAUAUUCCAAGCCGUCAUGUAUGCCCAUAGAAUCAUGAAACAUGCGGAUCAGGCACGGGUCGACAAAACAGAAAAGGAGGGGAUGUAGGAACGUUACACUUCUUAAACACUAAGGGGGUAGGAAUGCCGCCCCCGGAUUUAGAGCGGCUGAAGUGGUUCCCACACCCCCACACUUCCGGUCAGGAGACACACUGAUUAAGUGCCGAUUAGGAGUGUAUCUCUGGAGUACGCAGUGCAUAAAGCACCAAUCAGGAGAGGGGGCGAGACGUUGGCUUGAGUUUGUACAUGCGUAUAAUAGAAUGAUUUAUGUAACCAACUAUAAUAAAUAGACGUGGACAGCCCAGUUGGGGCGGGUCCACGGGAACAGAC